AACGAACGCUGGCGGCAUGCCUAACACAUGCCAGUCGAACGAGACCUUCGGGUCUAGUGGCGCACGGGUGCGUAACGCGUGGGAACCUGCCCUUAGGUUCGGAAUAACUCCCCGAAAGGGGUGCUAAUACCGGAUAAUGUCUUCGGACCAAAGAUUUAUCGCCUUUGGAUGGGCCCGCGUUGGAUUAGCUGGUUGGUAGGGUAAAAGCCUACCAAGGCGACGAUCCAUAGCUGGUCUGAGAGGAUGAUCAGCCACACUGGGACUGAGACACGGCCCAGACUCCUACGGGAGGCAGCAGUGGGGAAUAUUGGACAAUGGGCGAAAGCCUGAUCCAGCAAUGCCGCGUGAGUGAUGAAGGCCUUAGGGUUGUAAAGCUCUUUUACCCGGGAUGAUAAUGACAGUACCGGGAGAAUAAGCUCCGGCUAACUCCGUG
rnacentral:rRNA from 1 species